rnacentral:rRNA from 1 species
AUUGAACGCUGGCGGCAGGCUUAACACAUGCAAGUCGAGCGGAGAUGAGGUGCUUGCACCUUAUCUUAGCGGCGGACGGGUGAGUAAUGCUUAGGAAUCUGCCUAUUAGUGGGGGACAACAUUCCGAAAGGAAUGCUAAUACCGCAUACGUCCUACGGGAGAAAGCAGGGGAUCUUCGGACCUUGCGCUAAUAGAUGAGCCUAAGUCGGAUUAGCUAGUUGGGGGGGUAAAGGCCUACCAAGGCGACGUUCUGUAGCGGGUCUGAGAGGAUGAUCCGCCACACUGGGACUGAGACACGGCCCAGACUCCUACGGGAGGCAGCAGUGGGGAAUAUUGGACAAUGGGGGGAACCCUGAUCCAGCCAUGCCGCGUGUGUGAAGAAGGCCUUAUGGUUGUAAAGCACUUUAAGCGAGGAGGAGGCUACUGAGACUAAUACUCUUGGAUAGUGGACGUUACUCGCAGAAUAAGCACCGGCUAACUCUGUGCCAGCCGCCGCAGUAA